AAGAAAAAAAUGCUGAUAGCAAAGCAAUUAUCUAACAACGGGCCCAAACUGGGCCCUGAUCAUGCAAAGAUUUACCUUCAUGCUUAAUUUGAGGUGGAUAAGAUGCUCAAUUGAAAUGGAAGAGGCAGUUCAAGGCAGCGUUUGCACCAUGCUGAGGUGUAAUGGUCAACUCUGUCCCAGUGAUCCCAUGGAGAAUUCACGCAGAGGCCAAUGAAGUGAGGAGCCAGAGGCCAUUUCUGUUGUACUCCAUAGCAAAUCUUAAGAAUGGUGAACAGUUUACCCCACCAUACUGGAAAAUAGGGGUGUGGCCAGCAGGUGGACCCUUCCUAACUGAAAGGUGGGAACGACUUAAAAAAAGCCCUACUUUUGUUUAAAGCAGAUUUUUUUUAAGUGGUUCCCACCUUCCAAAUCUAUUAUCUGCAAAGUGUCAUUUUAAAUAAUGAAGCUGCCUUUCAUUAUAGGAGUGUAAAAACUGGCUUCCACAUUCUAACGUUUGUUUUGGGGGCUCGAAUAGCUGUACACUCUUAAAAGACUUCCAGCACAAAUUUUGCUGGAACUUUUAUACACAAAAUAGCGAUACCAGCGGUAUAAAAUCCUGCAUAAAGGGUUCAGAAGGAACAUAUCUAUAAUUAUAAGCAGUGCUACUAGUCAUCACUAUAAUAUGUUUUUUCCAUACAUUGGAAAAUGUGUAUUGUAGCAGAUUUCUAUACCACAACUUCGUCUCUCUCCCCUUUUUCCUUAAACCAUAUUAUGCAGUCGUCACUUGGCAAAUGGUAUUUUUGCCAUUUUUAGUUACGAGAGCAAAAAUUAAAAGGAUAUGGCAAUGUUCAAUUAGCUGUAUGCUUGUAUAACUUUCUAAUGUCCAGGGUGAUUGUUUGGGGGGCAGGAAGGCAGGGAAAUGGCUUAAAAUGCGCCCCUCUUUGAGAUCUUACAUGCCAAGUUUCAUAUGAGAGAAAAUCUUUACA